AAAUUGAAGAGUUUGAUCAUGGCUCAGAUUGAACGCUGGCGGCAGGCCUAACACAUGCAAGUCGAGCGGCAGCGGGAAAGUAGCUUGCUACUUUUGCCGGCGAGCGGCGGACGGGUG
rnacentral:rRNA from 4 species